rnacentral:rRNA from 1 species
UACGGAGGGUGCGAGCGUUGUUCGGAAUCAUUGGGCGUAAAGAGCGUGUAGGCGGCUUGGCAAGUCAGAUGUGAAAUCCCUGGGCUCAACCCAGGAAGUGCAUUUGAAACUGCCCUGCUGGAGUAUGGGAGAGGGAAGUGGAAUUCCUGGUGUAGAGGUGAAAUUCGUAGAUAUCAGGAGGAACACCCGUGGCGAAGGCGACUUCCUGGCCCAAUACUGACGCUGAGACGCGAGAGCGUGGGGAGCAAACAGG